CAAUAGCGUAUAUUAAAGUUGUUGCAGUUAAAAAGCUCGUAGUUGGAUUUGUGGCUGUCACGGGCGGCCUAUCACUUAGUGUUAGUGCUUGCCUGUGUCGCCAUCCUUGGGUGGAGCCCGUGUGACAUUAGGUUGUCGUGCGGGGGAUGCCCAUCGUUUACUGUGAGAAAAUUAGAGUGUUCAAAGCAGGCUUAUGCCGUUGAAUAUGUUAGCAUGGAAUAAUAAGAUAGGACCUCGGUACUAUUUUGUUGGUUUGCGCACCGAGGUAAUGAUUAAUAGGGACAGUUGGGGGUAUUCGUAUUUCAUUGUCAGAGGUGAAAUUCUUGGAUUUCUGAAAGACGAACUACUGCGAAAGCAUUUACCAAGGAUGUUUUCAUUAA
rnacentral:rRNA from 1 species